rnacentral:rRNA from 1 species
UACGAAGGGGGCUAGCGUUGCUCGGAAUCACUGGGCGUAAAGGGUGCGUAGGCGGGUCUUUAAGUCAGGGGUGAAAUCCUGGAGCUCAACUCCAGAACUGCCUUUGAUACUGAAGAUCUUGAGUUCGGGAGAGGUGAGUGGAACUGCGAGUGUAGAGGUGAAAUUCGUAGAUAUUCGGAAGAACACCAGUGGCGAAGGCGGCUCACUGGCCCGGUACUGACGCUGAUGUGCGAAAGCGUGGGGAGCAACAGGG